GACGUAGGGUCCAAGCGUUGUCCGGAAUUACUGGGCGUAAAGCGCGCGUAGGCGGCUUUGUAAGUUAGAGGUGAAAGCCCGGGGCUCAACCCCGGAACUGCCUUUAAGACUGCAUCGCUUGAAUCCAGGAGAGGUGAGUGGAAUUCCGAGUGUAGAGGUGAAAUUCGUAGAUAUUCGGAAGAACACCAGUGGCGAAGGCGGCUCACUGGCCUGGUAUUGACGCUGAGGUGCGAAAGCGUGGGGAGCAAACAGG
rnacentral:rRNA from 1 species